rnacentral:rRNA from 1 species
AUUGAACGCUGGCGGAAUGCUUUACACAUGCAAGUCGAACGGUAAGGCCCUUCGGGGUACACGAGUGGCGAACGGGUGAGUAACACGUGGGUGAUCUGCCCUGCGCUUCGGGAUAAGCCUGGGAAACUGGGUCUAAUACCGGAUAGGACCACUGCCUGCAUGGGUGGUGGUGGAAAGCUUUUGCGGUGUGGGAUGGGCCCGCGGCCUAUCAGCUUGUUGGUGGGGUGAUGGCCUACCAAGGCGACGACGGGUAGCCGGCCUGAGAGGGUGACCGGCCACACUGGGACUGAGAUACGGCCCAGACUCCUACGGGAGGCAGCAGUGGGGAAUAUUGCACAAUGGGCGCAAGCCUGAUGCAGCGACGCCGCGUGAGGGAUGACGGCCUUCGGGUUGUAAACCUCUUUCAGCACCGACGAAGCGCAAGUGACGGUAGGUGCAGAAGAAGGACCGGCCAACUACGUGCCAGCCGCCGCCGUAA